GCACUGCUGAGGAGUCCCGUACUAGGGCGAAACGGCUGUCCAGUGC
rfam:Schistosoma curassoni strain Dakar, Senegal genome assembly, scaffold: SCTD_scaffold0015363